UACGUAGGGUGCAAGCGUUAUCCGGAAUUAUUGGGCGUAAAGAGCUCGUAGGCGGUUUGUCGCGUCUGCUGUGAAAACUGGAGGCUCAACCUCCAGCCUGCAGUGGGUACGGGCAGACUAGAGUGCGGUAGGGGAGAUUGGAAUUCCUGGUGUAGCGGUGGAAUGCGCAGAUAUCAGGAGGAACACCGGUGGCGAAGGCGGAUCUCUGGGCCAUAACUGACGCUGAGGAGCGAAAGCGUGGGGAGCGAACAGG
rnacentral:rRNA from 1 species